rnacentral:lncRNA from 1 species
CAAAAGCUCACACUCAGUCCCAGGAUUAAGUUACUAAUCACUUGAUGUUGUCUUAAUUGAAAGGCAGAUUACCCAGACUAGUCCCUUCUGCCUUCUGGGCAGGUCACAUCUGAAAGAUUAUCCUCUUUGAAUCAGUUUGAAUGUUCUAGUGACCAGGCCACACAGUUUCUCUUGACAUUUAAAAAUAAAGCUUCCAGUCUUGUCACUAAUGGAUUUGGGGUCCAGUACCCUUAAAAUCACCUCAGAGCUGCCUGAAUCCAUAGACUACUUGCAGAAUCACUGGUUUUACUUGGAUCAAGCCAUCUGAGAAGUUUGGCUGAAAUAAAAACUCAAAGCCCCCACAAUAUUGAACCACCAUUCCAGACCCAGCCAAGGUUUGGAACAUAAAGUGAGCUGAAUGAAUCAGCCUGCAGGCAACCCAGAGAAAGUAAUUGUUCAUCCUAGCAGCACGGCUGCUUUUCUGCUUAGCAUCUGAACAAGUUAAUUUGGAAACACAGCCUUCUGGAAAGAAAUGGCGCUUCUCUCAGCAUCCCAUGGAUUCAUGAGCUCCUUGAAUGCAAAUAUUGCCUGAUAUUUUCAUGGUGAGGGAGAAUGGGAGAAACAAGAAAUGAUUACAUUAUUGUGGAUACUUUUAUUCACCACAAUGGAAGUCUUUAAACAUAAAGUUGAUGUACAUUAAGAGGCAAGACCCAGGGCAUAUCAUCUAAAGAAGAUUCCUCCCACUUUUCUUCUGCUUACACCAAUCCAUCCAACCAUACAUGAAUUUAUAUUCAAUGUACUCAAUUUAUUCAGUGUAUAAUAUUGCUUUGUGAACUAUGGGAAAUAUAAAUAUGACUCAGUUUUUCCCCUCAA